rnacentral:rRNA from 1 species
AUUGAACGCUGGCGGCAGGCCUAACACAUGCAAGUCGAACGGUAACAGGAAACAGCUUGCUGUUUCGCUGACGAGUGGCGGACGGGUGAGUAAUGUCUGGGAAACUGCCUGAUGGAGGGGGAUAACUACUGGAAACGGUAGCUAAUACCGCAUAACGUCGCAAGACCAAAGAGGGGGACCUUCGGGCCUCUGGCCAUCGGAUGUGCCCGGAUGGGAUUAGCUAGUAGGUGGGGUAACGGCUCACCUAAGCGACGAUCCCUAGCUGGUCUGAGAGGAUGACCCGCCACACUGGAACUGAGACACGGUCCAGACUCCUACGGGAGGCAGCAGUGGGAAAUAUUGCACAAUGGGCGCAAGCCUGAUGCAGCCAUGCCGCGUGUAUGAAGAAGGCCUUCGGGUUGUAAAGUACUUUCAGCGGGGAGGAAGGGAGUAAAGUCAAUACCUUUGCUCAUUGACGUUACCCGCAGAAGAAGCACCGGCUAACUCCGUGCCAGCCGCCGCAGUAA